CCUUUUGAUUANUAANUCUAAGGUCUAACCUGCCCAAUGNANNGUUANUUUAAUGGCUGCAGNNUAUUUUGACUGUACAAAGGUAGCAUAAUAAUUAGUUUUUUAAUUGAAAGCUGGUAUGAAUGGUUGAACGAGAAAAUUACUGUCUCAAUUUNAAANUUAUUAGAAUUUUAUUUUUAAGUUAAAAAGCUUAAAUUUUUUUAAAAGACGAGAAGACCCUAUAGAGUUUNUAUAAUUUAAUAUNUUANNUUNGUNUUUUAGNUAUUNUNNNUUUUUAAANUAUUAAAUUAUUUUAUUGGGGUGAUAAAUAUAUUUAAUUAACUAUAUUNUUAANUUUUAACAUAAAUUUAUGAAUUAUUGAUCCAUUUUUNUAUGAUUAUCAGAUUUAAUUACCUUAGGGAUAACAGCGUAAUCUUUUUAAAGAGUUCAAAUCGAAAAAAAGGAUUGCGACCUCGAUGUUGGAUUAAAAUUAAUAUUUGGUGUAGAAGCUNGANAUUAUUAGGUCUGUUCGACCUUUAAAAUUUUACAUGAUCUGAGUUUAAACCGGUAUGAGCCAGGUUGGUUUCUAUCUUUAAAUA
rnacentral:rRNA from 1 species